rnacentral:rRNA from 1 species
CCCUUAGAUGUUCUGGGCCGCACGCGCGUUACACUGAUGCAUUCAACGAGUCCUUCCUUGGCCGAGAGGCCUGGGCAAUCUUUUGAACGUGCAUCGUGAUAGGGAUAGGUUAUUGCAAUUAUUAAUCUUGAACGAGGAAUUCCUAGUAAACGCAGUUCAUCAAACUGCAUUGAUUACGUCCCUGCCCUUUGUACACACCGCCCGUCGCACCUACCGAUUGAAUGGUCCGGUGAAGCCUCGGGAUUGUGGCUGGUCUCCUUUAUUGGGGGUCGGUCGCGAGAACUUGUCUAAACCUUAUCAUUUAGAGGAAGGUGAAGUCGUAACA